AGCAGCCGCGGUAAUUCCAGCUCCAAUAGCGUAUAUUAAAGUUGUUGCAGUUAAAAAGCUCGUAGUUGAAUUUCGGGGUUCUACCGUUGGUCAGGCUAUUGUCUGUACUGGCGUGUAGAAUUUCUACCUUCUGGGGGAACUAUCAUGUUAUUAAUUUAGCGUGGUAGGAAACCAGGACCUUUACCUUGAAAAAAUUAGAGUGUUCAAAGCAGGCUUAUGUCUGAAUACAUUAGCAUGGAAUAAUAAAAUAGGACGGUGGUCCUGUUUUGUUGGUUUCUGAAUCACCGUAAUGAUUAAUAGGGAUAGUUGGGGGCAUUAGUAUUCAAUUGUCAGAGGUGAAAUUCUUGGAUUUAUUGAAGACUAACUACUGCGAAAGCAUUUGCCAAGGAUGUUUUCAUUAAUCAAGAACGAAAGUUAGGGGAUCGAAGACGAUCAGAUACCGUCGUAGUCUUAACCAUAAACCUAUGCCGACUAGGGAUCGGACGAUGUUAACUUUCUUGACUCGUUCGCGCCUUACGGG
rnacentral:rRNA from 1 species